GCAAGUCGAACGGUCUUUCUAUGGAAGCUUGCUUCCACUGAGAAGAUAGUGGCGGAACGGGUGAGUAACACGUGGGUAACCUGCCCAUAAGAGGGGGAUAACAUCCGGAAACGGGUGCUAAUACCGCAUAGUUUUCUUGAUCGCAUGAUUGAGAAAGGAAAGACGGCCUUUGUGCUGUCGCUUAUGGAUGGACCCGCGGCGUAUUAGUUAGUUGGUGAGGUAACGGCUCACCAAGACGAUGAUACGUAGCCGACCUGAGAGGGUGAUCGGCCACAUUGGGACUGAGACACGGCCCAAACUCCUACGGGAGGCAGCAGUAGGGAAUCUUCCGCAAUGGACGAAAGUCUGACGGAGCAACGCCGCGUGAGUGAAAGAAGGUUUUCGGAUCGUAAAACUCUGUUGUCAGAGAAGAACAAGUUGGAGAGUAACUGCUCCAGCCUUGACGGUAUCUGACCAGAAAGCCACGGCUAACUACGUGCCAGCCGCCGC
rnacentral:rRNA from 1 species